UACAGAGGUCCCGAGCGUUGUUCGGAUUCACUGGGCGUAAAGGGUGCGUAGGUGGUGAGGUAAGUCGGAUGUGAAAUCUCCAAGCUCAACUUGGAAAUGGCAUUGGAAACUACCUUGCUGGAGGUUUGGAGGGGGGACUGGAAUUCUCGGUGUAGCAGUGAAAUGCGUAGAUAUCAGGAGGAACACCGGUGGCGAAGGCGGGUCUCUGGGCCGAUACUGACGCUGAGGCACGAAAGCGUGGGGAGCAAACAGG
rnacentral:rRNA from 1 species